rnacentral:rRNA from 1 species
AACUACGUGCCAGCAGCCGCGGUAAUACGUAGGUGGCAAGCGUUGUCCGGAAUUACUGGGUGUAAAGGGAGCGUAGGCGGGAUGCCAAGUCAGCUGUGAAAACUAUGGGCUUAACUUGUAGACUGCAGUUGAAACUGGUAUUCUUGAGUGAAGUAGAGGUUGGCGGAAUUCCGAGUGUAGCGGUGAAAUGCGUAGAUAUUCGGAGGAACACCGGUGGCGAAGGCGGCCAACUGGGCUUUAACUGACGCUGAGGCUCGAAAGUGUGGGGAGCAAACAGGAUUAGAUACCCUGGUAGUCCACACUGUAAACGAUGAUAACUAGGUGUGGGGGGUCUGACCCCUUCCGUGCCGCAGCUAACGCAAUAAGUUAUCCACCUGGGGAGUACGACCGCAAGGUUGAAACUCAAAGGAAUUGACGGGGACCCGCACAAGCAGUGGAUUAUGUGGUUUAAUUCGAAGCAACGCGAAGAACCUUACCAGCACUUGACAUCCGACUAACGAAGUAGAGAUACAUUAGGUGCCCUUCGGGGAAAGUCGAGACAGGUGGUGCAUGGUUGUCGUCAGCUCGUGUCGUGAGAUGUUGGGUUAAGUCCCGCAACGAGCGCAACCCCUGCCAUUAGUUGCUACGCAAGAGCACUCUAAUGGGACCGCUACCGACAAGGUGGAGGAAGGUGGGGACGACGUCAAAUCAUCAUGCCCCUUAUGUGCUGGGCUACACACGUAAUACAAUGGCCAUCAACAAAGAGAAGCAAUACCGCGAGGUGGAGCAAAACUAUAAAAAUGGUCUCAGUUCGGACUGCAGGCUGCAACCCGCCUGCACGAAGUUGGAAUUGCUAGUAAUCGUGGAUCAGCAUGCCACGGUGAAUACGUUCCCGGGUCUUGUACACACCGCCCGUCACACCAUGGGAGUUGGUAACACCCGAAGUCAGUAGUCUAACCGCAAGGAGGACGCUGCCGAAGGUGGGAUUGACGACUGGGGUGAAGUCGUAACAAGGUAGCCGUAUCAGAAGGUGCGGCUG